rnacentral:lncRNA from 1 species
CUUCUGUUUCUCUGGUUAUCAAAACUCCAGAGCAUAUUGGUGUGCUGCAUAAUUUGAACAAAGUAACAGCCUCUCCUGAGCAAGCUGCAACAUUUGCUGUGGGUAAGCUGUGCUGCAUGUGUGCCCCUUGGCUAACCCUCCCUGCUGCUAUGUGGGACUGUCUGCAUCAGCUUUUGGAAAGGCCCAGAAGGGAUGAAUGGAAAUAUAAUUGUACCCUGAAGAGAAAUGAGGUGGUUUCAAAUGGCUGGAGUGAAAAUGUUUGCCACUGUAGAGAAGAGAAAAGUCCAUUGGAGAUGAACAACAGCAUGAACAAAGUGGUCAUUAUUUCUGAAUUCAAAUAGGAGUAUAAAACAGACCCAGACUGUGAUAGUACUAGUGUGAAUGUACCAGAAUACAGCUGAGCAUGCUACAGAAAUAGAAGGAGAGUGAAGGAAAGUAAAAAGAGAAAAUGAGAGAUUUGGCAAUCAUUAUAUCUGAAUCUUUGACUUUUCUGCUCAUUAUCUGUUCUGUGAUAAUCAGAGAGUGUAGUUCUUAGCAUACUUUUACCUUACUCAUAUGUUAUACUUCCUACUUUCUCCCUUUGUUACAUGCAAAGUCUGCAAAGUAG